CCUAUAAUCGUUUUAAUCGAUGGGGGGACGCAGUAGGAUAGGCGAAGCGUGCGAUUGGAUUGCACGUCUAAGCAGUAAGGCUGAGUAUUAGGCAAAUCCGGUACUCGUUAAGGCUGAGCUGUGAUGGGGAGAAGACAUUGAGUCUUCGAGUCGUUGAUUUCACACUGCCGAGAAAAGCCUCUAGAUAGAAAAUAGGUGCCCGUACCGCAAACCGACACAGGUAGUCAAGAUGAGAAUUCUAAGGUGAGCGAGCGAACUCUCGUUAAGGAACUCGGCAAAAUGACCCCGUAACUUCGGGAGAAGGGGUGCUCUUUAGGGUUAACGCCCAGAAGAGCCGCAGUGAAUAGGCCCAAGCGACUGUUUAUCAAAAACACAGGUCUCUGCUAAACCGUAAGGUGAUGUAUAGGGGCUGACGCCUGCCCGGUGCUGGAAGGUUAAGAGGAGUGGUUAGCUUCUGCGAAGCUACGAAUCGAAGCCCCAGUAAACGGCGGCCGUAACUAUAACGGUCCUAAGGUAGCGAAAUUCCUUGUCGGGUAAGUUCCGACCCGCACGAAAGGCGUAACGAUUUGGGCACUGUCUCAACGAGAGACUCGGUGAAAUCAUAGUACCUGUGAAGAUGCAGGUUACCCGCGACAGGACGGAAAGACCCCGUGGAGCUUUACUGUAGCCUGAUAUUGAAAUUCGGCACAGCUUGUACAGGAUAGGUAGGAGCCUUUGAAACGUGAGCGCUAGCUUACGUGGAGGCGCUGGUGGGAUACUACCCUAGCUGUGUUGGCUUUCUAACCCGCACCACUUAUCGUGGUGGGAGACAGUGUCAGGCGGGCAGUUUGACUGGGGCGGUCGCCUCCUAAAAGGUAACGGAGGCGCUCAAAGGUUCCCUCAGAAUGGUUGGAAAUCAUUCAUAGAGUGUAAAGGCAUAAGGGAGCUUGACUGCGAGACCUACAAGUCGAGCAGGGUCGAAAGACGGACUUAGUGAUCCGGUGGUUCCGCAUGGAAGGGCCAUCGCUCAACGGAUAAAAGCUACCCCGGGGAUAACAGGCUUAUCUCCCCCAAGAGUUCACAUCGACGGGGAGGUUUGGCACCUCGAUGUCGGCUCAUCGCAUCCUGGGGCUGUAGUCGGUCCCAAGGGUUGGGCUGUUCGCCCAUUAAAGCGGUACGCGAGCUGGGUUCAGAACGUCGUGAGACAGUUCGGUCCCUAUCCGUCGUGGGCGUAGGAAAUUUGAGAGGAGCUGUCCUUAGUACGAGAGGACCGGGAUGGACAUACCUCUGGUGUACCAGUUGUCGUGCCAACGGCAUAGCUGGGUAGCUAUGUGUGGACGGGAUAAGUGCUGAAAGCAUCUAAGCAUGAAGCCCCCCUCAAGAUGAGAUUUCCCAACUUCGGUUAUAAGAUCCCUCAAAGAUGAUGAGGUUAAUAGGUUCGAGGUGGAAGCAUGGUGACAUGUGGAGCUGACGAAUACUAAUCGAUCGAAGACUUAAUCAA
rnacentral:rRNA from 1 species